CGCUGCCGCGCCUGCACCCGCUCCCGUUCCCCCCACGUGGGGCGCCAGGCCCCGCCCUCUCCGGGCGUGCUCCCGGCCCCCUCCUCCGGUCACCUGUCCCGGAGACCCCGCGGCGUCGGCGACUCCGGCUCCGUCGGCCUCCGCGUCCGCAGCUCCCGGGCCGCGCGCGUCACUUCCGGUCCGCACCACGUGAAGAGGGGAACGAAAGAGGAUCACUUCCGGUCCUGCCGUCCCGUUUCCGGGAGUCUUAAAGGCGCCGCACCCCCCCACCUCCCCCCACCCCCUCCGUGGGUGGAAGCGGGAGUGUGUCUAGGUGGUACGCAAGGGUGUUCUGGAAGCUUUACUCAACUUCGUUGGGCCUAGAUGACCUUCUUCCAGGGAACUGCAAGACGCUCACUGAGAGAUCCGGAUGUGGCUGAAGACUCCAGGAGGUUCCAUGCAUUAACCAAAACGCCAACGUGAUAAACCUAUCAUUACACGUCAUACAAAAUUUGACCGUUGAAGUGGGCAGACCGGAUCCCCUGAGGUCACUGGAGUGGUGGAGAUCCUGGCGACUUUCAGUAUCUACUAAGACCACGCAAAUAACCCUUUGCGCUUACCGGCAAAAGAACGGCCCAGAUGAAAAGGCCCGACAAGGUCACAGGCCUGGUGAGGAUGCGCGGCAGCCGGGACUGACGCCCACUGCUGGAGGGGACACAGAACGCCCCAACUGCUGUGGAGUAAGUUCUACGACGGGCCGAGGCACACACAUACCCUGUGAGCCAGCAAAUGCACUGCGGGGCAUUUACCCAACAGAUGCGUGCACGUGCUCACCAAACGUGUCAUGAGCAAGAACGGCUGUGGCAGCUUCGACACAAUCGCCCCGCUUAUGCGCUGAUUUGUGUCCCCUCCCCAAUUCGUGUGUCAGAGUCCCUACCCCCCAGCACCUCAGAAUGUAACCUAAUUUGGACAUAAGCCUUUAACAGAGGCAGUUAAGUGAAAAGGAGGUCAUUAAGGUGGGCCCUAAUCUCCUAUGACUGGUGUCCUCAUAAGAAGAGCUUAGGGGCGCCUGGAUGGCUCAGUCGGUUAGGUAUCCGACUUUGGCUCAGGUCACAAUCUCGCGGUUCGUGGGUUCGAGCCCCGGGGUCGGGCUCUGCUGACAGCUCAGAGCCCGGAGCCUGCUUCGGAUUCUGUGUCUCCCUUUCUCUCUGCCCCUCCCCUGCUCAUGCUCUGUCUCUGUCCAUCUCAAAAAUAAAUAAAUGAACUUAAAAGAAGAGGAGAUUAAU
rnacentral:lncRNA from 1 species